rnacentral:lncRNA from 1 species
AUUUCUAUCAGGAGCAGUUAAUUUUUAUAAAAUAAUCUUAUCUUAAAUAUUUUCUUCUUUUCAAGGUAUCAUAGACGUCGUAGGAAGCCAAAUCCUCCAAAAGACAGAUGAUACUGAGAUUUUCAGAAAUCAGAGAGAAAUGUUAUCCUGCAUCUCAUUUGCCAUUUGAGAAAAUACAAUUGAUUUACAUCCACAAAUUUUUACAAAGAUUGAGGGCCACAUGGGAUCUGAGCGGUGUCUGCAACCUACACCACGACUCAUGGCACUUAACUACUCCUUAACCCACUGAGGCAGGCCAGGGAUCAAACCCGAAUCCUCCUGGCUACUAGUUGGGUUCGUUACCACUGAGCCACAACGGAACUCCAGUAUUUGGAUAUUCUUUAGGUAAGAAUGACUAGUAAAUGAUGGUAGUGAAAUUAAGUGAGGCCAUUAUUCAUUCUGUUGAUCUCAUCAUUAAGCAUUUAUUGAACCCCUACUACAGUUGAAGAGGCGGCAUGCCUUUUGCCAGGCCAGUAACAAAAAAUGGGCCCUUAAGGAGCAUAAUAUCUACUUAACUAGUAUCUACUGAACUUCUUAGUUUUUCUAAUGGCAUCACUUUUUAACUAUGAAUGUGAUGCAUCAUUAUUUUUUUAAAUUAGAGAUUAAAUAAAUAGAAAAUAAAAUUACUUCUAAUUGUCCUG